AUUGAACGCUGGCGGCAUGCCUUACACAUGCAAGUCGAACGGCAGCACGGGGGCAACCCUGGUGGCGAGUGGCGAACGGGUGAGUAACAUAUCGGAACAUACCCUAGAGUGGGGGAUAACGUAGCGAAAGUUACGCUAAUACCGCAUACGAUCUAAGGAUGAAAGUGGGGGAUCUUCGGACCUCAUGCUCAUGGAGUGGCCGAUAUCUGAUUAGCUAGUUGGUGAGGUAAAGGCCCACCAAGGCGACGAUCAGUAGCUGGUUUGAGAGAACGACCAGCCACACUGGAACUGAGACACGGUCCAGACUCCUACGGGAGGCAGCAGUGGGGAAUUUUGGGACAAUGGGGGCAACCCUGAUCCAGCAAUGCCGCGUGAGUGAAGAAGGCC
rnacentral:rRNA from 1 species